rnacentral:lncRNA from 1 species
GACAUUUUUUAAAAUUUUGUUUAUUACUGUUUACCAAUGGGGAGAUGCAGUUUAUUUACAUCAGCAGCCAUAGGGGAAUGGGGAAUACAGUUAGUCAGCUAUCUGCAUAGGAUGGACUACUUAUGCAAAAAUAAGAAUCUCCAAAACAAAGGACAGUGGUGAGCUUCACUACCCUCCCCCGAUGAUCCCAGCAUGCGAUAAUGCCAGGCAGUGGUCCCUGGGCAUGCGAUGGUGGGAACUAAUGUAUGGAAGAAAAAGCCACAAACCACAGAAAUUUUAAAGAACCCCCCCUUCCCCCAUAACACAUACAUACACACACACACACACUCAGAUACAUAAUAGGAUUGCAGGGUGAUCAAUACACUUAAUCAAGAAGGGAAAAACAGGAAUUCUGUUGUUAAAAGGAAGAUAGGUAGGGAAAGGGAGAGUUCCUAACCACUGUCAACUAUAUGGUAGGGAGCAUUCUCUCCCCAGAAAGGAGUCUGUACCCUCUGGGCACCUGUUGGACCAAGCCCACCUUAUACCCAUCCAGGGUAGGGGGCUAUUGCCCUAUUGGUAGAGGGGCCAGAAACAAACAAAAAAACAAAAACAAAAACAAAAAAAGAGAGUAAUAUGAACAAAGUAUUACUCAAAACUACUUCCCACUUCCUCCUCUAACCAGGAGAAAAGGCCAGAAAGAAAAUAGUAAUUUCAGGAUUUGAGUUCCCUAUCUGAAGGUAGAGGGAUUGGACCGUGGCCUUUCUCCUUUACUAUCAUCCCACUUCCAAGACAUUGUUAGGAAGUAGGCCAGAGUCUCACUUAGACUCUCCUUUCUUCAUCCUCUUAGAUAUCUACAAGUCAAGGGCAAAGAUAUCUCCAAAUUAUUUUAGCUUUUGCAAGGUUUGAUUUUUUUUAAAGUUACUGUGACUCUUUAAGACUAAUCUUAUGCAAUCUACAUCAGUCUACACAGUCUAAAUAGUACCUUCUGGGAUAAGGACCGAUACAUGCACAGCAAGGGUUAGAGAACGGGUAAGGACCAACUCCAUCCCCCUGUGUGUCAAUCAGCCUUUACUGCUCUUCUGCUUAGGUCCUAACAACCAGUAUUGAAAUGGAGGUGGGAAGAUACAACUCCUUAUGAAGUAAGACACAGCAAGAGGGCACACUAGCAAGGCAGUCCUAUACAGGAGAAAUGCUUAGGCAUGAUACUGCAUUUUAAAUACAAAAAAUUAAGUUCUCUUCCAAUUCCAAUCCCAACAGAGGGAGCCAUAAGAAAGAUUCUUUUCUGAAUCUUCUACAAAAACAAGAGACAAAAGAAAGAAAGAAAAAAGAAACAAAAACAAAAACAAAAACAGAGGCCAAGAAAAAAGAAAUUGGGCAGGCUUCAGAAGCAGGAGCAUUGAGCUGAAUUGAAACUGGUCAAUGUGAGAGCUGGAGUGGAAGCAGCACCUGGGGCACCAGAUAGGCAGUGGAGCAAGGGACAGGAGGAACACGGGGCCAAGCCAGACAGAUGAGGCUGGACCCCCUACUGGGGCACAGAAUGAGGUAAGAAAACAUUUCAAAUAAAGCAGCACCGUUCUGCUCACCUCGGGGCUCCCACCCCUUUAUACUUCAUAAACCCUCGCUCAGGGAAUAAAGUGGAGGGUAGUUUGAUAUGUGGCUCUUACUUCCCAUCUUCCCCUAUACCAUUCCCUAAAGUCAGGAGAUUCUGGAGGUCUUUCUCUGACAUCUAACAAUAAAAGAACUGCUCCUCUUGUCAAGAUCCAAAGGGGACCAAGUGGAAAGGACUGCCCCUUUCGAGGGGCAGAGAGAAGGUGGUGACAGUCUGGAUGUUCACCAUAGCAGAGCUCUGACUACCCAACCAAAGAAACAGGGACAUUCAACAGGACUCUGCACACAGUCAGAUGAGAUAAUCCAGUCCUGCUCCUUGGCUCCUAGCACUAAUCCAUUCACAUUAUUGGGGGCAGCUGAAAGUGCCCUCUGGGCUCAGUUUUCAAACCAUAGCCUCCUGCACAGCCAUGAUGCUCUUCUAUAGUUCAGUCCUGACCCCAGGGUGGGAGGCAGGUAGUGAACUGGCUUAAUGACCAAGUCAUACCCAUGGAGUGGCUAGGUAACCAGUAACUCAGAGUAGGAAGUGACUGCCCUACUAAACUUAUGUCCACAGCAUAACACAUCCAGACAUGAAUCUUGAAGUUUGAGAGAUCGUGCAUAGUUGCAGAGGUCCCUGCUACCUCCCCAGGGGAUCAUAAUCGAAUCCUCAGCCUGCCUGGACAACCAAGUUGUCCAUUUGCCAAGCCUAUGCCACCAGGUUGGAGGGCAAGGAAGAGGGCUCUGCUCAGCCAAAUGCUAGGCGCUGUCCUCAAGUCAGCUGAAUCACUGUAAAGUCUGGACUUUUGGGAAAUAGGUGGUUUUGACCUUUUCUUCUUGCUGGAGUCAAGGCUACAGAGCUUCCCUAUCAAACUUGAGACUUCUUUUUCUUGGAUUUCACAAAUUGAAAAUGUUAGUAUCCAGAUCUUGCACCUGACAUUUACUUGUCUCAGAGAAGCCCAUAUCAAAGGUUCAGAUAUCAAAGGGGCAGUCCCACUGCAGGCCACUGAUUACGGCCUGACGAACUGUGAUGUCCAAACUGUCCAGGAAGCCCUUGACAUCAGGCAGACAGAAAGGCUGAGGAACCAAAAAUUUUAUAUGCUGGGCACACAACUGCUCACCUGUGCAUUGGGGGGCACUACAGAAUAUUGCGCACAUCCUGGUGUGUUUAGAGAUCAACAGGCACUGCUUGGCCCGCAGGCUGUGCAGCUCCUCCUGCCCAGGGCUUCAGAGCUUCCUCCAGGUAAUACACUUUAAAAAAAGGAUUUCUAAAUUAUCCACUUUGGGUUUUUAAAUGCUAAUAUCUUCAAGGGGAAUUAGAACUUUUGUCUGAUUUUUCUACUUUUUUUCUACUUAGCUUACUCCUCCAAGCCACAGGACCAGUCUAUGUUAUUGUCCUGGCCACUUUCAGACUCUCAUUUUGCAGCUACUGGAAUUCCGGAGGUGAGCGCUGCAGCUGCUGAUCAGGCCCAUUCCCAGGUUCUCCGGGAAGGGAGCAAAGCGGUAGGCGGCACGCUCCUUUGUCUUCCACUGGCUGAAUGCCAAAAUCCUUCACGCUACCAGUCUCUGCGAACUCCAGGUAGAAGUAGCCGCACUUGACUGCCCGGUGCACCUCAAAGCAGAAUCCCAAACAAGAAUCCUCUAUCAGGUCUACGUAAAUCUCCUGAGCGAUGGCCUCUAGCUUGUUAGUAUCCAGAUUGGCCAACGAAAUUUCCUCCAUUUUAAUCUGUAAACGACUGCGAAGAGGGCGCUCGUUUUACUCACGGCAGCAACACGUCUGGCUCCACGGGCCGCGCCUAGGCCUAGACGCCUUUCAGAGCCCAGUUCUCUGGCAGCGGGGUCGGUGGUGUCCGCGGCGGCAGCAGCAGCGACAGGGGCGACUGCUCCGGAAUCCCAAGUCCUUCUGUUUGUUUUGGCGUAUCCCGGGUUGCGGGCCUUUUAGCUGCGCCUGGCCCAGGAAACACCGCCAAACCGUCUCAGCGCCUCACCCAGCC